AGCAAAAACAAAAAGGAAAGCAAAAACACGGGAUAGAUUUCGGCCCAAGGGUGAAGUUAUAAAAUUGACUAGGUUUUUUUCCCUUUUUUUCCAUUAGUGAUAUCCUGGGUGGACUCUAUCACGUUUGGUCUUUGAAGCAACAGUGGGCUACCAUGGCAACUGAAGCCAGGCAAGAUACGUAACAUGGCAUUCCCACCGAGCUUUGAGACUGGUACAAUGGACUCCGGUGAGGCGUUCACACCCACGGCUGCUUCGACAAGCAGUCAAGCGAGGAGAAGAGGGAGUCGCCUAUGAGGCGCACGGGGCAAGGGCCGUGGGAGAUGGGGCAGAGGUUGGCGUGUUUGGCCGACACCUGGGAUCGAAUUAUGUGCUGUUCGCCUUUUACUGCUUGGUUUCAAUGCAGGGCCAAUGUGCAUUAUACCUUUCCCCAUGGCCAAAGUGGAGUCUUGCUUCAGGAAAUUUGACAGUCUGCUCUACAGUGAUAAAAAAAUAUGUAAGUGAUGAGUGCAUUUGCAAAUUAAGUAGGCCUACAUCAACGUGACUGUAGCCACAGCUGGGAAUAUCGACACAUACUUAGCAUUUAGCAUAGCACAGGAUGCUACAUUUGGUGAUAAAUAGUGAUGCUAACUAAACAGUAUGACGCUGAUGGGGGAGCAUUUAGCUGCGAGAGCACAGGCAAUGACACACACAUCAUCAUACACGUCUUGAAAUCUCUUGAAACCGUGUUUUCAAACUAACUCCGCUUCUGCUGCUAGCUGCGCAUGUCUAAGAUGUGAGCUUGGUCUUUACCGAGCAAGUGAGUGUGUGCACAGGCUCUAAAGCGCUGUGCAGAGCGCACCCCCUGGUUGUGAUUGGUGGAUUGUUGCAAAUGGCAUUAAAGGCACUAGGGGUCCACAGAUGAACUAGAUUCUGUCACAUAUGAUCUGUCUCACAUAUUACUACAAGUAUAUAGUGACAGUUUCAGCAAAUAUGAAAAAAAAGUUAUCUUUGCAAAUCCUGCCGACUGCAGCUUUAAUGAUUUCCUACAGAUAUAGUUUAAGACAUUAAUACUUUGAUUAAAAAACUCCUUUCUCCUCUUUGAAUUUUUUUUAGAUUCUAUUAAUAUGUUAAUUGUUUGUUUUAAUGUGUCCUACUUUGCUGUAAAUUCUCAUAUUCUCAGUAGUUGUAGUAAGUAAGUUGUGCCAAGUGGCAAGACGUCACCCAUAGAAGUAACCAUACUUAGAGGAGCAGGGGUUGCCCUGACUGAGAGCUCGUCCACCUACACCUGCAACCUACACCUAUUGGACGAUACUAGCUGUAAAUCACACAGUAUCCGAUGCAUAUCGUGCUUUAUUGUCAAUCUCUAAAUCGGACCAUAAUUUAAAAAAAUGAUCAUCAUGCUGUAUUGAACAACACUUGAAACUAGCAAUUUAGACCAUAAAGUCCUCAGGAAACUGUUACUGAAGUUAUAUAUCAAGUGAGAAGUAGAAUCAAUUCCUCAGAGACCUCUAUAGGAACUGACAUUGUGUUUAACGGUUAGUCAUGUGUGCACCAACAGGGACUUUAUGGUGCAUUCAAAUCAGUAGUUGGAUGGGCAAAAAGGUUGCUCAAAAUUGGAUUACUUAUUUUCAUUUGUUGAAAUACAUACAUCUGCAGGUAUUGAAGGACCUUCCAUUGUUGCACUAUUAUCUAAAAGUAUGUUUGUUGACCCUUGACAGCAUUUUAAAUAGAUGCUGAAGUCAUACCAAAGGCAGUUAUUAAAAAUUUCAUAAAAAUAUUAAAUUAAAUUGUUAUCAACAAACCAUAGUAUUGUACAACAUUACCUCAAUUACCUCUUUGAUUAUUUUAUUUAAUUUUACUGCAGCAUUUUCAAUGACUGGACGCUAAAGUCGUUAUACAUACGCAUACAUUGCCAUUGCAAACCUGAUUGAAUGUGGAAUAUUCACGGGACUCAAACUGAUUGAAUAUUCCAUAUUCAAUCAGUUUGAGUCCCGUGAUAUCUACCUUGCCCUCUCUCUCUUUUGUUUUUCACUCACUUAGUAUCCAUGUGAAGGAAAAACAUGUGUUCUCCUUGUCUGUGUCCAUAUCUCAUAGAAGUUGACAUUAAUCCCUGCCUGUACCAGUCCAGAUCACCUGUUUCCAGUUACAAAGGUCAUCUGCUUCAUCUCCACAUUCUCUGCACCUCUCAUCAGCCUGUUUUAUGUACCUGUAUGUUUUCAGCCAGUGUUUGCCAAUUUGUCCCAGUGGUUUGUGUGAUUAAACAUACCUGUUCACCAUUUUUCCUGUUUUGUUUUUUUUUAAAUUUAAUCUAUCUUUUGCCCAAAAAGCUUUUGGCUGCUUUGGGAUAACCUGGUUUUGAUGUUGAAUGUUAUGGACUUUGACAUUUGGCAAUACCUCUUUAAUUUCAGUCCUGUU